GAGUUAGAGUUCGAUCGUGCUAGGAUGAACGCUAGCGGCAGGCCUAAUACAUGCAAGUCGAACGGGACGGGCCCCUUCGGGGGCCCUGAGAGUGGCGCACGGGUGCGCAACGCGUAUGCAACAACCCCGACAGGCGGAUAGCCGGUGGAAACGCCGGAUAAUACGCCAUGGUUCCCCCGGGAGGGCAUCCUCCUGGGGAUAAAGCCGAGAGGCGGUCGGGGACGGGCAUGCGUCCCAUUAGAUGGUAGCGGGGUGACGGCCCACCUAGUCCGCGAUGGUAGGGGAUCUGAGAGGACGGUCCCCCACACUGGUACUGAGACACGGACCAGACUCCUGCGGGAGGCAGCAGUAAGGGAUAUUGGUCGAUGGGGGCAACCCUGAACCAGCCAUGCCGCGUGAGGGAAUGAGGCCCUACGGGUCGUGAACCUCUUUUAUUCGGGGACAAGGACGCGGUCGCGAACCGUGUUUGAGGGUACCGAAGGAAUAAGCAUCGGCUAACUCCGUGCCAGCAGCGGC
rnacentral:rRNA from 1 species